rnacentral:rRNA from 1 species
UACGUAGGGACCGAGCGUUGUCCGGAAUCAUUGGGCGUAAAGAGCGUGUAGGCGGCCACUUAAGUCUUGCGUGAAAUCUUGCGGCUCAACCGCAAGCGGUCGUGGGAAACUGGGUGGCUAGAGUGCGGGAGAGGAGAGUGGAAUUCCUGGUGUAGCGGUGGAAUGCGCAGAUAUCAGGAGGAACACCUAUUGCGAAGGCAGCUCGCUGGGACGUUACUGACGCUGAGACGCGAAAGCGUGGGGAGCAAACAGG